rnacentral:rRNA from 1 species
UCUAAGGGGACGUGCCGGUGGACAAACCGGAGGAAGGCGGGAUGACGUCAAGUCAUCAUGGCCCUUAUGGGCUGGGCUACACACGUGCUACAAUGGCCGGUACAGAGGGUUGCCAAGCCGCGAGGUGGAGCUAAUCUCACAAAGCCGGUCGUAGUCCGGAUUGCAGUCUGCAACUCGACUGCAUGAAGUCGGAAUCGCUAGUAAUCGCGGAUCAGCAUGCCGCGGUGAAUACGUUCCCGGGCCUU